rnacentral:rRNA from 1 species
GCGGCCGGCUUAACACAUGCAAGUCGAGCGAGAAAGUGGCUCCGGUCAUGAGUACAGCGGCAAACGGGUGAGUAACGCGGGGGAAUGUCCCUUCCAGUCUUGGAUAGCCCCGGGAAACUGGGAUUAAUCCAAGAUCUUAUCCACGGCUGAAAGAUUUAUCGCUAGAAGAUAAGCCCGCGUGAGAUUAGCGAGUUGGUGCGGUAAUGGCUAACCAAGGCAACGAUCUCUAGUUGGUCUGCGAGGAUGAUCAACCACACUGGCACUGAGACACGGUCCAGACUCCUACGGGAGGCAGCAGUGAGGAAUAUUGGACAAUGGGGGAAACCCUGAUCCAGCCAUGCCGCGUGAGUGAUGAAGGCCUUCGGGUUGUAAAACUCUUUAAGUGGGGAAAAUAAUGAUUGUACCCACAGAAUAAGCCACGGCAAACUUCGUGCCAGCCGCCGCCGUAA